UACGUAGGGAGCAAGCGUUAUCCGGAAUUAUUGGGCGUAAAGAGCUCGUAGGCGGUUUGUCGCGUCUGCCGUGAAAGUCCGGGGCUCAACUCCGGAUCUGCGGUGGGUACGGGGCAGACUAGAGUGAUGUAGGGGGAGACUGGAAUUCCUGGUGUAGCGGUGGAAUGCGCAGAUAUCAGGAGGAACACCGGUGGCGAAGGCGGGGUCUCUGGGCAGUAACUGACGCUGAGGAGCGAAAGCGUGGGGGAGCGAACAGG
rnacentral:rRNA from 1 species